UAGCGUUGCUCGGAAAUGACUGGGCGUAAAGGGCGCGUAGGCGGUUUGGACAGUCAGAUGUGAAAUCCCCGGGCUUAACCUGGGAACUGCAUUUGAUACGUCCAGACUAGAGUUCGAGAGAGGGUUGUGGAAUUCCCAGUGUAGAGGUGAAAUUCGUAGAUAUUGGGAAGAACACCGGUGGCGAAGGCGGCAACCUGGCUCGAUACUGACGCUGAGGCGACGAAAGCGGUGGGGAGAC
rnacentral:rRNA from 1 species